rnacentral:lncRNA from 1 species
AUGGACACAGCAACUGAAGACAAGUGGAAACAAACCACUGUGUGCUUCAGCAUCCAGACACCCCAAGAGAAGACUGGGACACCCCAAGGGAAGACUGGGAUACGCCCCAGGGAAGACUUGGAGCCCAGACCUCGGCUCUGCUCUAUCCUUCCCUUCUUGGUGUGCAGUGGCUCCUGGAUACAGCAAAGGAAGAAGCCAAAAAUGGGCCCACAGCUCCUCACUCCCUUCUUCUAUGUCCUUCGUGAGCGAGGCUGGAAUUAUCAAUGGAAAUAUCAGGUCUUUGGAAAGUGCAGGUGACAUUUUCCAGCCCCCUUCCUGGAUCAGUAUCACCGGGGAAAAAUCUGUCACAGACACAGGUGUUAAAGAGCCUGGUGCUCCGAUGCCAGGGACCAGAGUCUGAGGUCAGUGCCCGCUCUCCGUGUACCUUCAGAGAAUUCCACCUUCCUGUCAGUGAGAUCCCGUCUCUUCUCAAGCAGCUUCCAUUUGGAAAGCACCAGCUGGUUUUUCUGUCUUUCACAGCAGCCUGGCUCUUUUCAUCUUAUCAAGCCUGACACACACUUCCAUGCUAGCCCGCAUCACAGGAGGAUCAUGAGCCCAGCUACCUCUAACAGUGAUGAGAACAUUUAAGGCACGCUUGCUAACGCUUCUUCAGUAUGAGGACACAGCACAAAGGCUGGCAGGUAGCUGACAAGAAGGAACAGUAAAAGGCACAGGGCUUAGAAAAGGAGCGUGUCCUUUGGCCUUUAGAGGGUUAAGACUGCGCUAUGUGCAGGACUUAGCAGGACUUGGUCACCAGGCCAUCUCCCAGCAUGCAAAUAGCCAUUCUAGGCAUAGCUGAGUAAGAUCCUACCACACUGCUUUGGUGCAAUGAUCAACCCUCACUGUCCUCUUGACUAGAUUUAGCAUCACUUAGGAGACCAUUGAGGCACACCCCUAGCUAGGUACGCUGUGGGCUUCUCCAAAGAGGAUCAGCUGACCAAGGAAGACCCAUUAUGAGCACAGUUUAAUGCAAACCCAUGAAGUGAACUGGGGGCCUAGAAAGGGAGAAGAAAAGAAAGCUGCCAGACUGGCAUGCAGGAGGUCUGCCUUGACCACACUUCCACAGCCAUGGUCUGAGCUGAAGGAGAGAAACCCUCUUGAGCCGUGAGCCAAGCGAGAUAGGGCCAUGUUCCUUAGGUUGUUUCUGUCAGGUAUGUGGAGACUACCAUGUUCAAGCACACACCUGAGUGUUGCUACACACACUUGAGCUCUGCUGUGGAGGAAGUUCUGGCUUGGCAAGCCAGCCAGGCUGCUUUGUUGACACAAAGACACCCCAGCUAAACGGAGGUGCUGAUUAUCAAACAGGGCCUGAAAUCCCAAAUCGCAAAUGCUGUGUGGGGAGGCAGUGGUACAAGACAGUCUCCCAAGGAUGCUCCAGAGGGUUCUGGCUUCAGGCACAGUUGAUUUCUGAUGCUUAAUGUCAGCAGCAUCCCCCCCCCAUCUUUUUCUCUUAUUUCCUACUGACCUUAUCCUUCCUUACCUGUCAUAGCGACUCCCUUUAAGUUAUGGGAAAGAACACUCACCAUGGCAGCUAGCUUCCAAUAGGAGGAAAUCUCUACUAUAGCAUCUAUUUCUCAUAUCUCAAGAGGCUGUUUUUAUACCUUCUGCUCUGGAGUAGUUCUUCAUAUACCCAGCCCUUGAGCCCAGGGUAGUAGGCAGGUUAACGCUGACUUGUGGUAUGUCAAGCUGAGGCCUCCCUUCUUUGGCCAUGAGUCUGCCUAAAGAUAUGUCAAGAUGGGGCUGGUCAUUUCUUAAUAUAAAGAGAGAUGAUGUGAGAGAUUUUAGGUCUCAAAAAUAGUGAUGUCUCUAACACAGAAUGAUGUCUUAGGGAAUACACUGUUUGAGAAAUGUGAAUUUUCUCCUGUUGAAUCUGGCUAUAUCUAGUUUAAUGUUAACACUAUAGUUCUUUUUACAGAGUUUCAACAAAAUGCCUGAGAAAAGCAGCUUAAGGUAAAGAGUUCGUUUUGUCUUGCUUAAGGAGGUUGCAGUCCACAGAUGCAGACCAUCAUGGUGCAGGACCUGGGGAGGCGGGCAGUUGUGUGGGGCAUCUGGUUACAGUAUGUCCAGACAAGAGGCAGAGGGUGCUCAACUCCCUUAUUUCUUU